AGAUUUAUUAUUUUCUAGAUAUCGCAAUGCAGAAACAUAUGACAUUCCUCGUUCUUGUUUAUGCAUUAUUAGCUGCUCUGGCAUGUUUACAGUUUGGUCGUGGGAGCACAGUUGAAGACUACCGUAAUACAAGUUGUAUUGAGAGUGAGAAGCUAGCUUUGCUUCACCUUAAACAUGGUCUCGUUGAUGACUUCAAUUACUUGUCGUCAUGGGAUGGAGAUGAUUGUUGCGCAUGGCACGGAGUUGGUUGCAACAAUGGAACCGGCCAUGUCACUCGACUUGAUCUUCGAAAUGGUAUGUUAAGAGCUGAUCAUAUAUAUCAUUCCUUGCUUGAUUUGAAAUAUUUGACCUACCUAGACUUGAGUAACAACAAUUUCGAGAAGCUGAAAAUUCCCCAAUUCUUUGGGUCAUUCAAGGAUCUUACAUAUCUCAAUCUCUCGUACACCAAUUUUGAAGGUUUAGUUCCCCAUCAUCUUGGAAACCUUUCUAAAUUAAGGCACCUUGAUUUAGGUCUUAAUUAUUAUUCUAACCCCAAUGCCUUUGAUCUUAGUAAUCUGUAUAAUUCUUUAUUGAGCAUUGAUAGCAUGUGGUGGUUAUCUAAGCUUUCUUCGUUGGUACACUUGGAUCUCUCCUAUGUUAAUCUUUCCAAGGCCACUGACUGGUUUUCAUCCAUUAAUAUGCUUCCGCAUUCAAUUGUAGUACUUAAUCUGUUGAGUUGUCAGUUAUCGAACAAUAUCCCACGCCAUCUUCCCUUUGUAAACUUAACAUCUCUCAUUUCACUUAAUCUUGAAGAGAACAGCUUAAACUCUUCUUUUCCUUUGUGGGUACUCAACAACAGUGGGCUUGCACAUCUUUCUCUACGACUCAACCGUUUUCAUGGAUCAAUUCCUGAUUCUUUAGGAACUUUAACUUCUCUUGUAGAAAUCGAUCUCUCUUACAACAGUUUUAAUGGUUUGAUUAAUCCAGAGUCUAUUGGAAGAUUGGUUUCUCUUUCUUCACUUGAUCUUUCAUCUAAUGAAUUUCAAGGUCAUCUUCCAAAGUCUAUGAGAAGGUUGUCAUCUCUUACUUAUCUUGGUCUUAUGGAUAAUAAUUUCCAAGGCUCGAUCCCUCAUUCUAUUAGCAAUCUCACAGAGCUUACAUACCUCUAUAUGUCAUCAAAUGAAUUAAGGGGUGAUCUACCGGAAGAAGUUUGCCAACUGUCAAAGUUAAAAAGUUUGGAUGUCAGUUUUAAUCAAAUGAGUGGAAGGAUUCCUGACUGCAUUGGACAACUAUCAAAUCUCAUAUCCUUGGGUCUCUAUGAUAAUUCAUGGGAGGGUUUUGUAACAGCGCAUCACUUCGUUAACCUCACGAAGCUCAUUGACUUGUCUAUUUCCUCAUAUUCUAACUUAGCUUUAGAUGUUAGUAUUAACUGGGUUCCUCCAUUUCAGCUCCAAUUUAUAUACAUUGAAUCCUUGAAAGUGGGUCCCAAAUUUCCCCGCUGGCUCUUAACACAAAGACAAUUUCUUGAUUUUAGGAUGAUAAAUACAAGUAUAUCAGAUACCAUCCCAACAGAUUGGUUUUCAAAUCUCUUAUCUCAUGCCUACCUUGUUUAUCUAUCUGAUAAUGACAUAAAUGUGGAACAACUAUCAUCCAUUUCUGCAGUUCCAAAUGGUUUGCAAACAUUAGCACUCUCGAAUACCCGUUUGUUCGGCGGAUUUCCAUUAUUUUUAUGCAAUAUAACAUCCUUGCGGACUUUAGUUCUCUCCAACAAUUACUUUACCGGAGAGCUACCCCAGUGCUUAGCAAACUUGACACAACUGCAGGAUCUUGAUGUGAUGAAUAACAAUUUCUCCGGUACCAUUCAUGCUUCUUUGGGUUCUUUAAGACAUCUCGAAUACUUAAAUUUCCAUGACAACAACUUUCAAGGGAAACUCCCUUUGUCCUUCCAAAAUUUAACAGAGCUAGUCAUACUUGAUGUGGGAAAGAACAAUCUGUCUGACGUUCUUCCCUCCUGGACUGUAGAGCAAUUACUAGGGCUCCGAAUUUUAAUACUCCGGUCCAAUAAAUUCUAUGGUAAAAUUCCUACAAAUCUUUGCCACCAUCCAGCAAUCCAAGUUUUGAACUUUGCACACAAUCAGAUUGUGGGAAAUAUUCCUCCUUGUUUUGGCAAUUUUAGUACCAUGAUUACAGUAAACAAGAGUGAUGACUUUCAUCCAGAUUUUCCUUGGAGAUGGGCAUACAGUAAGAUGAUAAUAGACGAUGCGAAGGGACAUGAGCUGAAUUACACCUCUGGUCUAGAGUUUCUACAUUCCAUUGAUUUGUCAAACAACAACAUUGAUGGAGAGAUCCCGGAAGAGUUGAUGGAUCUCCGUGGUUUAACAAGUUUAAAAUUGGCUGGUAAUCAUCUAGCAGGAAGGAUCCCUGAGAGGAUUGGGAAUCUGGAAAGACUGGAAUUUCUCGAUCUCUCUGGAAAUAAACUUUUUGGACAUAUUCCACAAAGUUUAUCGAAUCUGGACUUUUUAAGCCACUUAAACCUCUCUUUCAACAAUUUAUCAGGGAGGCUACCCACUGGAAACCACAUCCAGACCCUCUAUGAUCCCUCCAUCAAUGAUGGCAACAACCAGCUCUGUGGCCAACCUAUCUUAGAACCCUGCGUCGGUGACACAGGAUCACCAGAUGUUCCCUAUUACGAUGAAGGUAAUUCAGAUUUAGAUGAAGAGCAUGUAUGGUUUUAUGCUGGGAUAGGACCUGGUCUCUUGGUUGGUUUUUUGGGCUUCUGCGCAUGUUUGCAUUACAUCAAGUCUUGGAGGUAUUCUUACUUUCACUUGAUUGAUCGAGUCUUCGACAAGAUAGUGGUUGCCUUUGCUUUAUGGAAGAGAAAGUUCCAAAACUAACAGGUGAAGUCUUAAUUGAUUUAGCAUCCAUAACUCUAUGAGUUUCUAAUAUUGGUAAAACCAGUAGGAUAUAUGCUAAUCUAUUGGUAUAUUUUCUUCAGUGGAUUCCUGUACUGCAAUGGACGAGGUGGACGCUGUGAAGUUCUUGAUAUCUGUUGAAAAAAUAUAAUUUCUUGUAAAUUAUUUGUAUACUUUCAUGUCCCUGUAUUCUGUUUCUAAUAUCACCUAAAAGACAAGAUGAUAUAAUUUAUAUGGGUUGUAUAUCCCAUCCUGUUGCAUAUUCGUAAUUCUUUUUAUCUGGUGAUGAUUAGUUGUGCAAUGUUGUUUGGAGAAGUUUCAGGAUAGCAAGUGGUUUUUGUACUCACUGGAGACAGAAGGAGCCGCUGCAAGCAAUACUGGUAUGUCAAAAAUUACAUAACUUAAUUGAUGUAAUCCUACCUUUAAGUUUUAGCAUGUUAUACAGAAUUCUAUCUGCCCCUUCCUCAAGCUCGUAAAAAUUUAGUAAAUGACACUGUAAGAAAGGGUGAGCUUGACGCCACCUUCAGACUUAAUUAUUUUUUGCAAGUAACGUUGCUGACAUCAAGUAUAGUCAAGGUGUGGGAAAUUGCCAGGGCCACAUUAUCCGCAAUCAAUAUUCUUGGUUCCCUGUUCUGUGCUUUUUUUUUUUUUAGAUCUUAUUGUAAUUAUUGUGUUCGUUGAAGAUUAUGUAGACCGCGUAAAGGUUUUAGACUACACGCCCCAUCCUAAAUAAUUAAGUGGCUCUUGCUUCUUUCCUGGAAGCAAGAUACUGAAACUGGUGAUUUCAAAGCAUACAUCUCUUGUAACUUAUGCAGUAACAUCUCCUGAAUGAUUUCUAUAUUUAAUGAUAUACAUCUGAUUUACCUGGACAAAAUCUAUAUGGAUAAUCUACACGCGAGUGUUGCAGCUUUGAAAAAGCUUCCAGAGGCCGGAGGCAAUUAUCUGUCAAACAAUCUUCUCUCAAGGGUUUCAGAUGGUGCACACUUCAAUCAUUUUAUAGCAAGUUUGGAUAUAUCGUGUUGCAGGCUUUCUAAAUUAGUAGCAAAUUUUUUCUUUUAUGUCAUGUAUUGUUUUUGGCGGUUGAGAAACAGAAAUACAUUUCGUUGGACGUUGGUACCACUUCCUUAAGCAACAUAUCUUCGGCUUAGAACAUAAAUAUGCUUCUAUGAGGAAGGACCAUACGAGUAGAGUUUUCCCAGCGAUCUGUCAACAAAACACGUUUUGAAGCAUUUCCACUCAGCGAUAAUGCACUGGCACACUAUCAAUCUAUUUUAAAGUCCAGCCUUGCUGUAAUGACUAUGUCAGGAUAAUGUGUGAAAUGUAAUUAAUUUUUAUUCAGUUAUAGUCAAGUUCACAGUGACAAAUGCGGGUCGUAUGCUCAAGAACACAAAUGCAAUUAAUUUUUAUUCAGUUAUAGUCAA